rfam:Populus trichocarpa isolate Nisqually-1 chromosome 3, whole genome shotgun sequence.
UAUGCAGUGAUGAGCUCAUAACAUGUAAGAAGAUCCCUUUUGUGGGGUUUCUUCUGUGAAAUAUACUUGUUACGCUUGGCUUCUGAGCUCA